AAUGAUGGAUGUUAGUAGUCGAUGAAUAGUAAGUUUUCUGAUGAUUUUGGUCUCUAUUAGAGUUGCUCUGAACCUAUAAAUGGUUGGAUAUGAGAUUUGUUUAGAUUAGUAAUUAAAUUGGAGAUGUUGUGAUUUGGGGAGCACGAAGGCUCCAGGAGUUUAAGGUUGGAUUUGGAUUUUUUUGAAGUGUUUGCAGGUAUUUAUUAGGAAGGGUUGUCCAUUUUCAAGGGAGGUUAUGCCGAUUUUUCGGUAAACUUUCCUUGGAGGUGAUCCCCGCAAGAUUUACUUCGGGUUUCAUGGUGAAAUUCGGGGUGGGUCUUGACAGUAAUUUCUCCUUACCUGAAGCGAACCGGAGUGAGUCCUUUUAGGGCAAGGCAGCUGGGUUGGAGACCUACAAAACCAUACCAAGCUUGCCCGGAUUGGUGGCACUAAAUGUUUUGAGUUUCAAGCAAGUUUGAAAUCGUGGAGUUAGAUGUCAGUUAUAUUAUUUUAAUCGUGGGGCUAGUAUGGAUUCUUUCGGAAUUCCAGGUGUUGAAGUUUGGUUUCCAGAUUUGUUGAGUGUUGGGAAGAUGAUAAUGUAAAUGGAAUCGAAAAGUAAUGGUGGAGUGAGAGCGGGAUGGUUGUGGUCACUCCAGUUUUUUUUGACAACUCCCGGUGAAUUUAUUACGUGUUGUCAUAGGUAUUCUAUAGUAGUUGUGUGGAGUUAGUGGAAGUGGUAGCAGUGGAAUAAAACCCACUAGAUCAUAAAGCAAGAGUGCGUGGGUGUCCAAAGUAUUUUUUUUUUUUAGCAGUGUCAUUCCGGGUGGUUCAUUUAAGUCUUGACUUUGUGAUUGAAGUUGGUUAUUGACAUCACUUCGUUCGCAAUGGGUGACUAACUACGACAUAACAAUGGGAGGAUCUAUUCUCAUCGGUGAGAUGGAGUAAAGUUUUGGUUGUGGUGUGUGUGGGAAUAUUUAAAUUAUUCCUACUGCAGUUCACUACCAGGACAAGCACUUUAGCCGACGAAAAUUUUUCGUCGCCCUGUCAGCUUAAUUCGUCGGCUAAGAUCUUAGCCGACGACCUUUCGUCGGCUAAGAUUUCGUCGGGAAAAGCUCGUCUGUGGUGACUUUAGCCGACGACACAGGUAUAAGUCGUCGGCUAUAGUCCAGACUUUAGCCGACGACAUUGUUUCGUCGGCUAUAGUCCAGACUUUUAGCCGACGACAUUGUUUCGUCGGCUAUAGUCCACACUUUAGCCGACGAC
rnacentral:lncRNA from 1 species